CAGGCUGCAACUCGCCUGCAUGAAGUCGGAAUUGCUAGUAACCGUAGGUCAGCAUACUACGGUGAAUACGUUCCCGGGCCUUGUACACACCGCCCGUCAAACCAUGAGAGUUGGCAACACCCGAAGUCGGUAGUCUAACCGCAAGGAGGACGCCGCCGAAGGUGGGGUUGAUGAUUAGGGUUAAGUCGUAACAAGGUAUC
rnacentral:rRNA from 1 species